AGCAGCCGCGGUAAUUCCAGCUCCAAUAGCGUAUAUUAAAGUUGUUGCAGUUAAAAAGCUCGUAGUUGAAUUUCGGGAUCAGUACGUCGGUCGUGCCGUGGUACGUACUGGCGUCGCUGAUUUCUCCCUUCUGACGAACCGUGAUGCCAUUAAUUUGGUGUUGCGGGGAAUCAGGACUGUUACUUUGAAAAAAUUAGAGUGUUUAAAGCGGGCACGCGCUUGAAUACAUUAGCAUGGAAUAAUGAAAUAGGACGUUCGAUCCUAUUUUGUGGUUUCUAGGAUUGACGUAAUGAUUAAUAGGGAUAGUUGGGGGCAUUAGUAUUCAAUUGUCAGAGGUGAAAUUCUUGGAUUUAUUGAAGACUUAACUACUGCGAAAGCAUUUGCCAAGGAUGUUUUCAUUAAUCAAGAACGAAAGUUAGGGAUCGAAGACGAUCAGAUACCGUCGUAGUCUUAACCAUAAACUNUAGCCGAUAGGGAUCGGAUGAUGUUUAUUUUUAAUGACUCUAUUCGGCGCCGUUAC
rnacentral:rRNA from 1 species